UACGUAGGCAGCGAGCGUUGUUCGGAGUUACUGGGCGUAAAGGGCGCGUAGGCGGGCGGCCAAGUCAGGGGUGAAAGCCCCCAGCUCAACUGGGGAAGUGCCUCUGAUACUGGUCGCCUCGAGGGAGAUAGGGGCGUGCGGAACUUCCGGUGGAGCGGUGAAAUGCGUAGAUAUCUGGAGGAACACCGGUGGCGAAGGCGGCAUCCUGGACCGGUAUUGACGCUGAGGCGCGAAAGCCAGGGGAGCAAACGGG
rnacentral:rRNA from 1 species